rnacentral:tRNA from 1 species
GUCCUUGUCGUUCAAUGGAUAGGACAUCUCCCUCCGAAGGAGAAAAUGCUGGUUCGAUUCCAGCCAAGGGCA